rnacentral:lncRNA from 10 species
GCUCCAUGAGGCCAGGCAUGGUGAGUGAGUCCUUUUCCCGAUGUCCCAUAGCAUCUGAAGCUGAAGUCAACAGUCUGCCAACCUAUAUUGAGGGAAUAGUUGAGGAAUGGGUGAAUGUUGAUAAGAAGCAGUGAAAAAAAGCAUUCCCAAGGAGAGGGGCUGAUCCCAAGGAGAGGGGCUGAUCAACUGUGCCAGUGUGGCCGGGAGUUGAGUGGAGGGAAGACUGGACCCUGACCAUUGGGUUUGGCCAUGGGAAGCGGCUGGCAACCUUGAUGAUGAUGUAUGUGAAGAUUGGAGAUAAAAGUCAUAUUGGAGUGGGUUAGAGAGAUUGGAGGUGAAGAGACAGUAUGGCCCGUGCAGACAGCUCUGGGUAGGGGUUAGUUCUGGAAGGAGAUGUGGACUCAAAGGAAAGUUUUUAAAGAUGAGAGAGAUAACGGCUAAUCUAAUUAAAUUCUAAUUUGAUUAGCUAAUUCAAGUAGUGAAUUCUGAUUAAAUGC